GAGAAGGAGAGAUAAAAAACUCUGUACAGUGGUUUGAUAUAGUUCCAUAUUCGGCGUACAUAAAGAACCGACAGACGUCAACUAAGGGCUGAAAAAGUCAAAGGUUGGUCGCCAAAAAUCGUUAGAAAAAACGGCUGAGUAGGAAGAGUUUCGUGGCCAGAAUUUUUUCUAACGGGGAAAGGAUUCCCAAAAUUCUGACUGAGAAACGGACGAAAGAUUGGAAUACAAUAUAAGGGCAAAGAACACGCGACGUCGCGACGCCUUGGUGAUUUAUUUUAGAUUUUAAGAAUGGACGGUAAAACUGAUGACGAGGGUAGCCGCAGCGUCAACGAGGGCGACUGGAUCUGCCCAGAUACCCAAUGUGGCAAUGUUAAUUUUGCUAGACGCAAUUCUUGUAAUCGGUGUGGCAAAGACAGAGGAGAAUGCCCGAAGAAGAAGAAACUUGGGCAAGAGAUUGGCAAAGCCGCAGCAGAGAAGAGCAGGGGCUUGUUCAGUGCGGAUGAUUGGCAAUGCAGUAAAUGCGGUAAUGUAAACUGGGCACGGAGGCAACAAUGUAAUAUGUGCAACGCACCAAAGUUUGGAGAAGUUGAAGAACGGACGGGAUAUGGCGGUGGUUACAAUGAUCGUGGGGUUGUAGAAUAUAAGGAAAGAAAGGAUGACGACGACGACGAAUAUGACGAAUUUGGUAGGAGAAGGAAAAAAAGGAAAUUAGACAACAGAAGCUCUGACGAGGACUCCAAGGACUCUAUAAGAUACGUCAGCCCUCCGAGGAGCAGACCAAAGGAAGAAGUCAAAAUUCAAGAAAUUAAGGCUGAUCUAAACGAAGAUGAGGAUAACGAAGAUGAGGAGGACGAUGACGAUGAAGAUUUAUCCAAGUACGACCUAAGCGAGUGGGACGAUUUUGUUCCAGUAAAAAAAAAUGCAAAUGGCAAGAUAACUUCCUCGCGUGACCAGCGGUCAAGGUAAACACGGAACGGGGACGAAGGGCUGGACUCGGGCACUUCCAGCCAGUAAAUGGCUGGCUAGGACAGGUUCGAAUAGCGAAGACGAGAAUAUUCUGAAGCAAAGUGCAAGAUCGAUGGGUACACUGCGAAGCUGUGCUUUUCGGGCAAAAAGCCAAAAAGAGCAUCAGCUAACCACAGGGGCUAAUCCCACUUUUCCUAUACUAACUUAUUCACCGAUAAAAAAUUUUUUAUCAGCAGCGUAGCCAGCACUUGCGAUACUACAUACGAUAGCCAGAUUAUCGUUGGGAAAAAAA
rnacentral:misc_RNA from 1 species